rnacentral:rRNA from 1 species
GUAAGUUCCGACCUGCACGAAUGGAGUAACGACUUCCCCGCUGUCUCAACCAUAAACUCGGCGAAAUUGCAGUACGAGUAAAGAUGCUCGUUACGCGCAGCAGGACGGAAAGACCCCGGGACCUUUACUAUAGUUUGGUAUUGGUGUUUGGUACGGCUUGUGUAGGAUAGGUGGGAGACUGUGAAGCGUGGACGCCAGUUCAUGUGGAGUCAUCGUUGAAAUACCACUCUGGUCACUCUGGAUAUCUAACUUCGGCCCGUAAUCCGGGUCAGGGACAGUGCCUGAUGGGUAGUUUAACUGGGGCGGUUGCCUCCUAAAAAGUAACGGAGGCGCCCAAAGGUUCCCUCAGCCUGGUUGGCAAUCAGGUGGCGAGUGUAAGUGCACAAGGGAGCUUGACUGUGAGAGAGACAUCUCAAGCAGGGACGAAAGUCGGGACUAGUGAUCCGGCGGCACAUUGUGGAAUGGCCGUCGCUCAACGGAUAAAAGGUACCUCGGGGAUAACAGGCUGAUCUUGCCCAAGAGUCCAUAUCGACGG